rnacentral:rRNA from 1 species
AAAUUGUGAUAAGGUAAGGGAAAAUAAUGAUACUACCUUACUAUAAGUGUUGUCCAAAGCUGGUGCCAGAAGACUCGGUAAGGCCAGAAACGCGAACGUUAGUCAUCAUAAACAGGCGUAAAGGGUUUGUAGGCAGCUUAGAAAUCUUAUUUUUAAAAAUAGUAACCAAAAUAGGUUAAGGUGGAGUAAUAAAGUAUAAGCUAGAAUCAAAGUAGAGGGAAAAAUAAUGUCUAGAGUAGGGGUAAAAUCCCCAAAUACUAGAUGGAGUACUAAUGGCGAAGGCUUUUUCCCAUAAAUGAUUGACGCUGAGAAACGAAGGAUAGGGCAGGAAACAGGAUUAGAGACCCUGGUACCCCUUUCUGUAAACUAUGAAUGGUAGAUACUAGUCUAAUAACUGUUCNUCAAUUAUGAAUACACUAGUCUAAUAACUGGUCNUCAAUUAUGAAUACUAGNGUAAGAUACUGG